rnacentral:sRNA from 1 species
AUCAGUUAAUGGUCUGUUUUCUAGAAUGUAUCAGUUAAUGGUCUGUUUUCUUGAAUGUAUCAGUUGAUGGUCUGUUUUCUUGAAUGUAUCAGUUGAUGGUCUUUUUUCUUGAAUGUAUCAGUUAAUGGUCUGUUUUCUUGAAUGUAUCAGUUAAUGGUCUGUUUUCUAGAAUGUAUCAGUUGAUGGUCUGUUUUCUUGAAUGUAUCAGUUAAUAGUCUGUCCUCUUGAAUCUAUGGUCUGUCCUCUUGAAUGUAUCAGUUGAUGGUCUGUUUUCUUGAAUGUAUCAGUUAAUGGUCUGUUUUCUAGAAUGUAUCAGUUAAUGGUCUGUUUUCUUGAAUGUAUCAGUUGAUGGUCUGUCCUCUUGAAUGUAUCAGUUAAUGGUCUGUUUUCUAGAAUGUAUCAGUUUACGGUUGGUUCUCUAGAAUGUAUUUGAAUCUGUCUGGACAUAAUUGUUCAAAGUAAUCCAUGCCUGUUUGUUGCUUGGUUACGUCAGGUUAAACAUGUGACCAAAGUCUUAGGAAACUUUGGAUCAAGUUUGAAAGACAAACUGAAUGCUAUAGCCAGUACUGCCCAAAACAAACAGGAAAAAGACAUUGUUUCCGGAGUGCUAUCCCUGGGAGUAACGUUAGCUAACAAAGGGAAAGACUACAUGGAGAAGAAUGAGGACGCUGAUCUGAAAACCUUGAAACAAAGAAAACAAAGCUCCAAAUCUACUAAGAAGUCAAGAGACUUGGGAGAAGCCAAAAUAGACUAAAUGAUGUGCUUUCCAAGAAAUGUAGGAUUGUAUUUGGGAUCUGAUUGGAUAUGUCAAAGUUACGUGCCAACUUUCAUUGUCACAACAAAAUCCAGACGUGAUGUUGUUGUCCAUAGAUAGUUGAUCUUUUUAGAAAGCGCUUAAAAAUAUGCAUUCUUUAGGAAAGAGAUCUAAAUAUUUCUUAUCUAUUAUUUAAGAAACUGUUUUCCAAUUAGGCUUUUAUGAACUAAAUACCUGAAGUCAAUGUUAUGUUCAGCUUAUAUGCAAGUUUGUGUGUUUACCACACUAUGUCAGCAGUAGACAUUGUUAUUUCAAAAACUGAAAUGUAUACACAAAAUCUAUAUUAUCUUAUCUUAUAAAAUACAGAUGAAACAUAGGUAGUAGUAGAAAAGUCUCAAAAUUUGUUAUAUAAAUUUCAUUUCUUGACAUAUCCUUAUUCAUUAAAUUUGUUAAAAAAUC